rfam:Gossypium hirsutum cultivar TM-1 chromosome 6, whole genome shotgun sequence
UAUUAAAAUUUCAUCCAUUUCUUCUGUUAAAAACUGAUGUAGCUGACAAAUUAAUCAUACAGUUACAUGUGAUGUAUCAUAUGUACCUCGUGUUGACGUACAGGGACCAAUUUUUAACAGUAGAAAUGGAUGGAAUUUUUAACA